GUGAGGAAUAUUGGUCAAUGGACGAAAGUCUGAACCAGCCAUGCCGCGUGCAGGAUGAAUGCCCUAUGGGUUGUAAACUGCUUUUAUGUAGGAAUAAACCCCCUCUCGUGAGAGGGGCUGAAGGUACUACAAGAAUAAGGACCGGCUAACUCCGUGCCAGCAGCCGCGGUAAUACGGAGGGUCCAAGCGUUAUCCGGAUUUAUUGGGUUUAAAGGGUCCGCAGGCGGGAAAAUAAGUCAGUGGUGAAAUCCUAUCGCUUAACGAUAGAACUGCCAUUGAUACUGUUUUUCUUGAGUGUAAUUGAAGUGGGCGGAAUGUGUCAUGUAGCGGUGAAAUGCAUAGAUAUGACACAGAACACCGAUUGCGAAGGCAGCUCACUAAAUUAUUACUGACGCUCAGGGACGAAAGCGUGGGGAGCAAACAGGAUUAGAAACCCCGGUAGUCC
rnacentral:rRNA from 1 species